GACGAACGCUGGCGGCGUGCCUAAUACAUGCAAGUCGAACGCUGAAGCGAGGCGCUUGCUCUUCUUGGAUGAGUUGCGAACGGGUGAGUAACGCGUAGGUCACCUGCCUGGUAGCGGGGGAUAACUAUUGGAAACGAUAGCUAAUACCGCAUAAAAUGGAUUAUCGCAUGAUAAUCCAUUGAAAGGUGCAAAUGCAUCACUACCAGAUGGACCUGCGUUGUAUUAGCUAGUUGGUGGGGUAACGGCUCACCAAGGCGACGAUACAUAGCCGACCUGAUCGGGUGAUCGGCCGCACUGAGAGGGAGACACGGCCCAGACUCCUUCGGGAAGGAGCAGGAGGGAAACGGCAGCAAUGGACGGAAGACUGAGCGAGCAACGCCGCAGGAGGGAAGAAGGUUGUCGGAUCGGAAAGGUCUGUUGUAAGGUAAGAACGAGUGUGAGAGUGUAAAGUUCACUCAGUGACGGUAACUGAUAAGAAAGGGACGGCUAACUACGUG
rnacentral:rRNA from 1 species